rnacentral:rRNA from 1 species
AUUGAACGCUGGCGGCAGGCCUAACACAUGCAAGUCGAGCGGUAGCACAGAGAGCUUGCUCUCGGGUGACGAGCGGCGGACGGGUGAGUAAUGUCUGGGAAACUGCCUGAUGGAGGGGGAUAACUACUGGAAACGGUAGCUAAUACCGCAUAACGUCGCAAGACCAAAGUGGGGGACCUUCGGGCCUCAUGCCAUCAGAUGUGCCCAGAUGGGAUUAGCUAGUAGGUGGGGUAAUGGCUCACCUAGGCGACGAUCCCUAGCUGGUCUGAGAGGAUGACCAGCCACACUGGAACUGAGACACGGUCCAGACUCCUACGGGAGGCAGCAGUGGGGAAUAUUGCACAAUGGGCGCAAGCCUGAUGCAGCCAUGCCGCGUGUGUGAAGAAGGCCUUCGGGUUGUAAAGCACUUUCAGCGGGGAGGAAGGCGUUAAGGUUAAUAACCUUGGCGAUUGACGUUACCCGCAGAAGAAGCACCGGCUAACUCCGUGCCAGCAGCCGCGGUAAUACGGAGGGUGCAAGCGUUAAUCGGAAUUACUGGGCGUAAAGCGCACGCAGGCGGUCUGUCAAGUCGGAUGUGAAAUCCCCGGGCUCAACCUGGGAACUGCAUUCGAAACUGGCAGGCUAGAGUCUUGUAGAGGGGGGUAGAAUUCCAGGUGUAGCGGUGAAAUGCGUAGAGAUCUGGAGGAAUACCGGUGGCGAAGGCGGCCCCCUGGACAAAGACUGACGCUCAGGUGCGAAAGCGUGGGGAGCAAACAGGAUUAGAUACCCUGGUAGUCCACGCCGUAAACGAUGUCGAUUUGGAGGUUGUGCCCUUGAGGCGUGGCUUCCGGAGCUAACGCGUUAAAUCGACCGCCUGGGGAGUACGGCCGCAAGGUUAAAACUCAAAUGAAUUGACGGGGGCCCGCACAAGCGGUGGAGCAUGUGGUUUAAUUCGAUGCAACGCGAAGAACCUUACCUGGUCUUGACAUCCACAGAACUUUCCAGAGAUGGAUUGGUGCCUUCGGGAACUGUGAGACAGGUGCUGCAUGGCUGUCGUCAGCUCGUGUUGUGAAAUGUUGGGUUAAGUCCCGCAACGAGCGCAACCCUUAUCCUUUGUUGCCAGCGGUUAGGCCGGGAACUCAAAGGAGACUGCCAGUGAUAAACUGGAGGAAGGUGGGGAUGACGUCAAGUCAUCAUGGCCCUUACGACCAGGGCUACACACGUGCUACAAUGGCAUAUACAAAGAGAAGCGACCUCGCGAGAGCAAGCGGACCUCAUAAAGUAUGUCGUAGUCCGGAUUGGAGUCUGCAACUCGACUCCAUGAAGUCGGAAUCGCUAGUAAUCGUAGAUCAGAAUGCUACGGUGAAUAGGUUCCCGGGCCU